GUGUGGACCAAUAAAAGUAAAGUCUAGCUAUUUGCUUUGCAUUUGGCACUGGUAAGAAUGCAUGAUAAUCAAAGCAUCUUUUGUUCCUUUCCUUCCAUAAUGUCCACAAACCAGAGGCCAGCAGAAUAUCCAGGUUUUCUUGCAUUGAUCGCAUAGGUUCCUCAUGUCUCCACGUACACCAUAGACUAUCUUGAGUAUAUGGGAGCUCCUUGAGUUGGAGGUUAUCCAUCAAAGUUGCCCAGACCUUUCUUGAAAAUAGGCAUUGAGCAACAAGUGAUC
rnacentral:lncRNA from 1 species